rnacentral:rRNA from 1 species
UACAGCCGCCGCGGUAUACGUAGGGUGCGAGCGUUAUCCGGAAUUAUUGGGCGUAAAGAGCUCGUAGGCGGUUUGUCGCGUCUGUCGUGAAAGUCCGGGGCUUAACCCCGGAUCUGCGGUGGGUACGGGCAGACUAGAGUGCAGUAGGGGAGACUGGAAUUCCUGGUGUAGCGGUGGAAUGCGCAGAUAUCAGGAGGAACACCGAUGGCGAAGGCAGGUCUCUGGGCUGUAACUGACGCUGAGGAGCGAAAGCAUGGGGAGCGAACAGGAUUAGAUACCCUGGUAGUCCAUGCCGUAAACGUUGGGCACUAGGUGUGGGGACCAUUCCACGGUUUCCGCGCCGCAGCUAACGCAUUAAGUGCCCCGCCUGGGGAGUACGGCCGCAAGGCUAAAACUCAAAGGAAUUGACGGGGGCCCGCACAAGCGGCGGAGCAUGCGGAUUAAUUCGAUGCAACGCGGAGAACCUUACCAAGGCUUGACAUGUUCUCGAUCGCCGUAGAGAUACGGUUUCCCCUUUGGGGCGGGAUCACAGGUGGUGCAUGGUUGUCGUCAGCUCGUG